CCUACGGGUGGCAGCAGUGAGGAAUAUUGGUCAAUGGCCGUAAGGCUGAACCAGCCAAGUCGCGUGAAGGAAGAAGGCCCUAUGGUUUGUAAACUUCUUUUAUAGGGGAAUAAAGCUAUCCACGUGUGCCUUUUUGCAUGUACUUUAUGAAUAAGCAUCGGCUAACUCCGUGCCAGCAGCCGCGGUAAUACGGAGGAUGCGAGCGUUAUCCGGAUUUAUUGGGUUUAAAGGGAGCGUAGAUUGGUUGUUAAGUCAGCUGUGAAAGUUUGGGGCUCAACCGUAAAAUUGCAGUUGAUACUGGCAGACUUGAGUGUAGUUGAGGUAGGCGGAAUGCGUGGUGUAGCGGUGAAAUGCAUAGAUAUCACGCAGAACCCCGAUUGCGAAGGCAGCUUACUAAGCUGUAACUGACACUGAAGCACGAAAGCGUGGGGAUCAAACAGGAUUAGAUACCCUUGUAGUC
rnacentral:rRNA from 1 species